GACUGCCCGCGUAAGCGAUUGAAGUGGCAUCCUUUUGCUUGCAAAAGAUAUAACGUAAAGCGCGACCACGC
rnacentral:sRNA from 1 species